rnacentral:misc_RNA from 1 species
CCCUACCUCUUCUGGGAUUGUUCCCGAUAUCGGAUUUCGUCCUAGGCCUAAUUGGACAAGGUUAGACAGAUUGCCAAUGGAGCUAGGUAAUACACCACCAAAAUUGUUACCAUCAAAAUAUAGUUGUUGUAGACGGCUGCAGUUGGCCAGAGAUGGUAAAAAACUCAAAUCUUGACUCGUGUUGCUGCCGAAGAAAUUGAACUCCACGUGAAGCUGUUCAAGACCCUUGAGAUUUCCCAGAUUAGUCGGAACUGGUCCCGUGAAACUGUUGGUAGAUAUGUCAAUAAGCCAAAGCUGAGAAGCGUUGGCCAAUGAUUCUGGAAUAGUUCCAUAAAAUCCAUUUUCAGCUAAGAGCAGUUGUUGCAGGUUAGGAAGAGUAAGGCCUAUGUUUGCUGGGAGACUCCCACUUAAUUGA